AAUAGAUACCCAGGUAGUCCACGCCGUAAACGAUGAGUGCUAAGUGUUAGAGGGUUUCCGCCCUUUAGUGCUGAAGUUAACGCGUUAAGUAUCCCGCCUGGGGAGUACGCUCGCAAGAGUGAAACCCAAAGGAAUUGACGGGGGGCUCACACAAGCGGUGGAGCAUGUGGUUCAAUUCGACGCAACGCGAAGAACCUUACCCAGGCUUGAACAGCGAGUGACCAACUCCGAAAGGGGUCUUCCGCAAGGACACUCGUAGAGGUGCUGCAUGGCUGUCGUCAGCUCGUGUCGUGAGAUGUUGGGUUAAGUCCCGCAACGAGCGCAACCCUCGUCCUAUGUUGCCAGCGGAUAAUGCCGGGGACUCAUAGGAGACUGCCGGUGACAAACCGGAGGAAGGCGGGGAUGACGUCAAAUCAUCAUGCCCCUUAUGACCUGGGCUACACACGCACUACAAUGGCCGGUACAACGGGCUGCGAAACCGCGAGGUGGAGCCAAUCCCAACAAAGCCGGUCUCAGUUCGGAUUGCAGG
rnacentral:rRNA from 1 species